ensembl:lncRNA
ACUUGAAAUGCAUGCCCAAGACAGACAGGGAAGAGGUGUGGACCACACUUGAAGGGAUGCUGCAACAAGAGUCACCCAGAAGGUCUUCACAGGCACAUGAUGAUGGGCCACCCAGGAAGAAAACCAGCCUCUGCAAAUGGGCUCAGAUUCAGAAUCAGAAGAUGAAGAGGUCCAACCUGCCAUACAGAGGUACAGAGCAGAGCCCACCAUUGAUUUGGAGCACUGCCCCUUGAGGUGGUGGGCAUCUCAUUCAGGAGCCCAUGAGAAGCUGGCCUCAGUAGCUCACAAAUAUCUAGCCACUCCUGCAAACACUGUUCCCUGUGAACGACUUUUCUCAGUUGCAGGUCACAUUGUGAACAAGAAAAGGUCAGCUUUACUUUCAGAAAAUGUGAACAAGUUAGUUUGCCUCAGCAACUGGCUGAAAGAUGAUGAAGCUCAGUAGAUUUGAAAGGUGAUGUUCAGACAAAAAGACCAGUUUCAGUGCAACAUGUUAUAGUAGUUAGCAACUGGAUUUUUGAGCAACUGGAUUAAAGAAUGGAGGAAAAGGUAAAAGAUUGUUCUUUGGUUUGAUUUAAAAGUUGAAAAUGUUUUCUUCCACAUAAAACGCAACAGAUGACUCAAAUUGUGCAAAAAUGUGGUAGACCACUGUUAUGAUUUGACUACAUUUAUUGCUUUCUGUUCUGAAUACUGUAAAUUGUACACCCUGGUUAAGAGGAAUGCCAAAAAGGAAGCAAUGGGACAUUACAAAGACAAAUAUUAUGGUGUGUAGUAUGUUUCAGCUUGAUUUAAACCACCAUUAUUUGGCUGUGUUAAUAAACAGACAUAAUAUGAAAAUUAUGUAUCUGUGUCCUGUUAUCUAUCUUUUGGUAUGCAUUUCAGAAAGAAAAAAUGGUUAGGAUUCAGGUGUAAUUGCAAAUAGUGAUUAAUCCUGAUUAAUCCACUGAAAAUUCUGAUUAAUUGAUUAAACAUUUUAAUUAUUUGACAGCCCUAAUAUAAAUAUAAAAAAAUAAACAAAUAAAUGAACAUUGCCACCAUACAUAAUCAUUUUAUAUUUAAAUAAAACUAUAUAUCAGUGAGCUUCCUCCCACAGUCCAAAGACAUGCUCUGGGGAUCAGGUUGACUGGUAACUCUAAAUUGCCCGUAGGUGUGUGAAUGUGAAUGGUUGUAUGUCUCUAUGUAGCCCUGUGAUUGGCUGGCAACCAGGCCCGGGUGUACUCUGUCUCUCGCCCGAAGUUGGCUGGGAUAUUGUCCACCCACUCAGGGGUUUUGAAUUAAUGUAGAUGACUCCAGACUCCAGACAUCCCGCGACCCUGUGUGCAGGAUAAGCGGUUUGCAAAUGGAUGGAUGGAUCUGUGAGGUGUUAUUAAAGUAAUGUACAUAGAAACGACACUACUGUGCAGCAGGUUGUUAAUUUUCAUAUGAAUAUUCUCAACCUUCUGACAAUGAUAACAUGAACCUCUGAAAGUGUAUGUGGGUGACAUUAGGAUCUGAAAACAUAACAUGUGAGAGGCAAAUCAAUUCAAAUGACUUACCAUAUACUCCAGAACAAGCUGUCCCUCGUCCUCCCCCAGGUAGAUGCAAAGAGCCUUUAGGACAGCUGUCCUUUUAGGAUUGACAUAAUUUGUCUCCUGUGUUAAAGAAUUACAAUUAUUAAAUAAUAAGAAAUACAUAAAUAAGUACAGCAAUUUAAAUAAAUUGAACAAUAUUUAUAUUACAUUACAUGACAUGUCAUUUAGCUGACGCUUUUAUCCAAAGCAACUUACAAUAAGUGCAUUCAACCAUAAAAUGUAAUAACCUAAAUGUAUAAUAUAACUUCAUUUUUUCAUCAUCAAAAAUAUACAUGACAUUUUACAUGUCAUAAAGACAAUUGGUAUACAUAUUUACUUCUUGCAAGAUCUCCAGAUGUUUAGCUAGUUUCUGGCCAGCAACUCCUCCCUUCGUCUGGAAGAUAUACGUCAAUUGGGCUAAAUGGCUGUCCAACUGUGCCAUGAAGGUAGAUUCCAGUGGGAUGGUGGUAACGCGUUGGAACUUAGCAUGUAUCUUAUCAAAAAACAAAAAGAUAAAAUACAAAGUAUUGGUGCAAUAUUUUGUUGCUAAUAAAUUCUAGUUUUGAACUCCUCGUUAACAAAGACUGUCUUUGAUAGCAUGUGUACUGGUUGGUCCACAGUGUGUUCUAGCCAGACACAUUCCUAUUAAUCGUGGGUAAUUGCAAGAGUAGGCUUUCCUUCAGACAAUCAAAGAGCUGACAAGCUGGUGAAAAAAGUGGAAUAUGCAGGAACUUAAGAGCCGGACAUUUUUCUUGGUAGUGACCAAAAACAGAGCUAUAAGAAUAAUCAAUCACUAGGUGGGAUAUAUUUUUCUUUCAAAUGUAUUGUCAAUAUUUAGGUUACAGCAGUUACACACUAAGAUUGUACAAAGACAAGAGGCGCAUUGGGAAAAUAGGUAGCA